rnacentral:rRNA from 1 species
UACGUAGGCAGCGAGCGUUGUUCGGAGUUACUGGGCGUAAAGGGUGUGUAGGCGGUUCUUUAAGUUUGGUGUGAAAUCUCCCGGCUCAACCGGGAGGGUGCGCCGAAUACUGAGGGACUAGAGUACGGGAGAGGAAAGUGGAAUUCCUGGUGUAGCGGUGAAAUGCGUAGAUAUCAGGAGGAACACCGGUGGCGAAGGCGGCUCUCUGGGACGGUAUUGACGCUGAGACGCGAAAGCGUGGGGAGCGAACAGG